UAGCUCAGCAGCACAGCGCCUGCCUGGCAAGCAGGAGGCCUGAGUUCCAUUCCCAG
rnacentral:tRNA from 1 species